rnacentral:lncRNA from 1 species
CAUAAUCAUUAAAUAUUUGCUUAUCUUUAGUAAUCAAAUAAUCAUAAACUAAAAAUACAGUCCUAGGUAAUCAAAUAAUCAAGAAAUAUUUGGCUUAAUAAUCAAAUAAUCAUUAAAAAAACGGCCAAGUAAUCACAUAAUCAAAAACCCCAUGAGGGCCCUCACUGCUGGUGAACUGUGAUAAAAAAUGUCAAUUUCCUACAAUGACAAAAGAAAUUACAUUGUGUACAUUCCGUCUCUAUACAUGUCUGUUCAACGUCCCGACCUAAAGAGAAAUAAAAAGACUAAGUUUUCGUUAUUAUAAACCCAAGUCACGUGAUGUCUCCCCAAUCUGGCGCGCGCGCUGGCCUGAAAUAAAAUAAAAACUUUCCGAACUAAACAUGAAACUUCCCCGGAAUAAUAUAGACCCCUUACAAAAACAAAACAAACAAACAAAAAACAAC